rnacentral:snRNA from 12 species
UAGAUCACUUGGCGUAAAGGUUACCGGGAUCAAGAAGACGGUUCCCCUGAAGCAAGACUUGAUCAUUGCACUACGGUUGAGUUACCCUUUGCGAUUAUUCCCAAUCAUUACUUAUUUUUUUGUAUGUUAAUGGUUAUAGCGCUGCUGCAGA